AGGUUAUUACAUUAGGAACC
rnacentral:snRNA from 1 species